ACUUAGGUGCACACUUAGGUAAAACCAAUUUUUUUUUAGUUGAGACUGUGUCUAUAUGAAGUGUAUGUCCAGGAAACUCGAGUAUUGGAGUUUGUGUCCAAGAAUGAUAGAAACAAGAUUGCGCAAUGACGAGUUCAAAUUUUGUUCGUUCUGCACAUCUACGUCACGGUUGACCAACUUGCAAUCAGCUGAUUUUCAGUUGUUUGUUUUUCUUCGCAAUAAGAAGCAAUUUUGUAUUGCAGGCAUACAAAAUCAUGAAUAUCAUCAAAAUUUAAUAUUAAUAAAAGAUAUCAUUAUAAGUGAAUAUUUUAUAGUGAACAUUUAUAUACAUAUUCAUUUAAUUGAAUUUUCAUUGUAUUAUUUAAAAAGAGACAAUCUUUGCUGUGUUUGUUUCAACCAUAUACAUUUAUGUAAAUAAAAAGAUUGAAUAUUUUGUAACCAAGUAUCAAUUUAUUGUUUUAUUUAAUUUUCUUUUUUUACUAAACAUAUGUUCAAUUAUGUUUUUAUUUAAAGAACGAAUCCUAAAAUACAUUCUAGCUCUGAAAAAUAAUUCUUUUAUUUUGGUGUUACAAUUAACAAAAUUACUUAAAUCUAAAUGCUUCUGGACGUAAUUUGCACAUAUGUAUGUACACAUAUGCAAAUCAGUACCAUUUAAGUCGUCAAAUACUGCUUGCAAGGCUCUCUCCAUCAACAUAUCUGUUGGUUUAGGAUAAAAACAGUGGUUAUGAACUUAAUGAACUUUAAUAUAUUUUGCAACAUACAUACAGUAUUUUUUUGUCUUUCUCACCGAUGACCUCUUCUGCACUUUGAGGUGCCUCUCCAACCUCGUUUUCUUGAAUUACUUCAACAGCGUCGGUAUUCUUCAAGAUUGUUGUCAACAUCUCUUUUUUGGAACGAGACUCCAUCCUUUUCUGCCGUUCAUUAGCCUCUGCAGGAGCAGUGGUUAAUGUUGGAAAAGCGCUGGGUAGCAACUUCGUUGGAUUUCGCGAACUUAAACCUGCAAGUGUGUUGGGUUACAAAAGUAAAAUUAUUGUUAUCAAAAUGCUAAUUACCCAUUUCAAACUGCAAAUUUCUUUCGAAAGCUUCUGCCGCGAAGUGCAUUUCACAAACGCACGCAUUUUUAACGUUAAUUUUGUCCGUCCGACGACAAAAAUGAAUCCAUUGUUUUAAUGCGGCUUUAUCCUUAGGGAAAUGAAAAAAUCUCCUCUUCCUCACUAUUUUUACCAUUGUUAUUAUUACAACCGAACACUGCACAACGCAUUUUAAAAAUACAGAAUUUAACAAUUAAUACAACACUUGAAAACACAAUUCGAAUUCACUUUCAAUAGCGCGGGCGAAUAAUAAGUCAACCGUGACGUCAGCAAGAACAGCUGACUGAAAGCAAACAAGCGCAUUGCGUAAUCUCUUCCUCUAACAUUCUUGGUUUGUGUCAUUGUAUAAACCUACAAGUUACAAAAGAAUCAGCUGUUUUCCAAGAAUUUUUCACAGCUGAGAUCAGCUGAUCAAAAUCUGCCUUAUUUAGGCACAGAGAUGUAAUUAAAAGAAAUGUAGUCGAUCAACUUUUUUGUGAAAAAGUAUUUGUAACGGAAAACAUUAAUGAAAACUUUCAAGAAUAUUUUUUGAAACAAAAGUUUAUUGGAUAUUUAUUGCUCUUCCUCACCACUUCUGAAGUUGCAAUGUAGGCGCGCUACCCAUCUUUUUUGGGUGUUCGUUCCCCAGGAUCCCCUAUUUUCACCAUUUUUAUAUAUAUAGUUUUAAAUCAAUCUACUUAUUAUAAAAAAUAUGACUAGACAAAAAUAAAUAUAUAAAGUCAGGUACAAUUCAUGAAUAUUAAUUACAUUAAAAAUAUAACAUUGACAAUAUAUGUCAAAACAAUCAACUGGAAACUAUUUAAACAAAAACCAAAAUAAAUAUAAAAAAUCAGGUACAAUUCCAUUGUAAACAUUAACAAUACAAGUCAUAACAAUCAACUUGUAAAUAUUUAAAUAUUAUAUAUAUAUUUUUUUAUAAAAUUGGAAACUUUUAAUAAUAUAUUGAUACAAUAAUAAUAAAACCUAACACGGCAACACACUAUAGCAGAUUUGAGGCAUUUGAACGUUUUAGUAGUAGAAUAUUUGGGGGCAACCCGAACCAAGUGUCUAAUUUGUAGUAGAAUAUUUAGGGGCAACCCGUGCCAAAUGCCUAAUUUGUAGUAGAUUUUUGCAUAUGUGUUAGUGAAAAAUAAAGGAUUGGUUACUUGUAGGUUUAUACAAUGGUUUGUGUAAUUGCUGGAUUUGAGGGAUGGCUAUUAUAUUUUUCUUUUUUGUAUACUUGGCAUUGUUUUAUCAGUGUAUCUAUUCUUUGUCUCAUUUUAGGGAAAUAAUAUUUCUCCGGUAAUUACAUUUUAUUUUGCUGAGCUCUGUUGUGAGUCCGUAAAAUAAUUUCGUCUUGGUCCUUUUCAUUUAUGUCUCCUUCUUUCAUUUGAGUGAAUCUUAUUUUGAAGGAUCUAAAAUGUUCUGGAUAUAAUAUUUGAAACAGUCCCAUUACAUCUUCUGUCUUGUAGAUGCCGUUUAUGAAGGAUUUAAGUACUUUCUCAAUAUUUCUUUUAAAUUACCAUCAAAAUAUGUUAGUUGAAAAAUGGUAUGUCUAUGGAAUGUAGGGAAUGAAAUGAUAAACUUAUAGUCAAGAGGAUGUUCUUUGUAAAUAAAAAUUUAGUUUUUAAAAGCACGUAUACCCCAAUGCUGGGAAUAAGAAGAUGAGGAGAGCUUUGAGCACUAUGUUGCGUUUCUUUUAUUGAAGUAAUUAUUGUACUCAGCUAGGUAUGAUUACAAUCGUGUGUGAGUGGUUCGUGAUCUGUAUAAAUUUUUAAUUUACAACCACUAAAAAGGUGACGUUUGAAAGUCUUUACUGCCCAACAUAUAGCUAACAUUUCUUUUUUUGCGGUCUCGUAACUUUCUUCAGUUUUUGAUAGAGUUCUCGAUAUAAAAGCAAUUGAUAUGUCAGCUUGAGAGAGUACAGCUCCUAUCGCGUGGUCAGAGGCGUUUGUAGUUAAUAUAAAUUCUUUAUUGAAAUUGGGAUAUUGUAGAUAGUAUUACGUCAUCAGAUAUUAACGCAUUUUUUAGCUGUUCAAAUGGUUUCUUCGCCUCAUUAUUUAGAUGUAUUGUUUUCCUAGCCGAUGCUUCUUUUCAUAUUCUUCAAUUUUCUCCCCUGAGUAGUAGCGGCAUUGUACGGCAAAGAGAGAAGGGAGUAGUGUUUUUUGCCGUUCACUUACAUUGCGCGCCCAUAAGAUUGGUCGUAUCAGCUGACACGGGCCACGAUUCUAUGUACGUUUUUGGCUGUUUCUGCUAUUACUGUCUGAUAUCUUGUGCCGUUUUGAUUCGCAAGUUUUUGCUGUUAUCUAAAAAUGAGUUGCAAACCGAUUUACUUAAGGGGUUAGGGGUAGUGUUAUUUUACAAAAGUAGUAAUAUGGCAUUAUUAUAGAUACAUAUGUGUGUAGAUAAUGUGUUGAUUUGAAGUCACGAAAAUUUCAAAACAAAAAUUUAUUUCAAAAGUUAUAGGUGUUUGUGUUGACCCAGUUCCAAAAAAAGGGACGUGCGGCGACAACCAUAAGUCCUUGGAGAUUCAUCUAAAAUCAAUCGAACAAAAAAAUUAGUUUUAUAAAUAGAUAAACUCGGGCUGAUCGAAGGAUUUUUUUGUUUUCAGGAAAUUUUUUUCUAAAUUUUUGGGAAAAAAUCAGCAGUUUGUCUUAAAAAAUCGAAAUUUAUUAUGUAUUCUAAAAGCUGUAUAAAUUUCAUUAAAAUCUACUGCGUUUUCGAGUUACAGUUAUCACCAGUUCAAAAAACAUAGUUUUGAGAAAAACGCGUUUAAAGUUUCACACUAGCGCUUUGAAGUGCCCGAGCUCUCUUUGUUAUUUGUCGAAUAACUUAAAAUUUAUCGGAUCAACGUAAAAAUUCUAACUACAAUUGCAAUGUUUAUUGCAAGUUGUUAAAAAUCACCGACAAAAAUUUCCCGAUUGUAACAAAAAAACUUUAGUUUAAUUUUGAAAUAAUCAAUAUGUAAAAGAUAUGAAAUAAAAAGUUGUAUUGCAAUCGAAAAAUUACUGAAAAAUUACUCUUAUUAAUUUACAUUUCCCGAGAGUCAGGAGCAAGUAUGACACAUUUUUUUUCUAACUACCCCUAACCCCUUAAGGGGCCAUCCAUAAAUUACGUCACACGAAUUUAAGGACUUUUUAACCCUUCCCCCCGUCCUUGUCACAAGUUGUCACAUUUUGAACUAGCCUCCCCCCUUUCGUGACGUCACACAUUUACCAAUUUUAUGGAUUUAUCAAAAAAUAAAAAAAAACAGGUUAUUCUACUUAUUCUUAUAUUUAUUGAAUAAUCUUUACUAAAAUAAACAUUUAGUUAAAUAUUAAAAUACAGACACAAUGAAUGACUAGUCAAGAAAUAAUAGAUACUUAAUUAUGCUAAUUAAAAAUACAAAACUUAAUCAUCUUGUGCCCAUGGACUUGUGACCCACUCCUUUAAAUCAUUUAUUCCUGGUAAAUCAGGCACUUCAUUUUCGUUCUGAAUUUGGAUGUCAGGAACAUCUUUCGUAUCAACAUCGCCUUCUUCCAUACAUAAAGCAUCGUCAUCAUUCAUUGAGCAGAGAAAUCUCGGGCACGUCUAGCCGCAAUCCUUUGAGGACGAAUUUUCGAUAGGUAACAGCUCUUGUUUUUUAUGUGAUUGUUUGUGUUGAUUGGUGGCUUCAUAUGAAAAAAAAUAUAGUCCACAUAUACUACACGAUCUUUUAAAUAAGUAUGUCUCCACACUACGGCAAUAACUAUCAUAUGGAACUUGUUUCAGAUGGGAUGAUGCUUGGAGAUUUAAUAAUACCUGUAGUAAUAAUGGAGCAAACUUAGCGUCUUUGUCAUCACACCCUGUGACUCCAUAACCUUCUGAUGUUUGUUUAAUUAACACAGGUGGUGGUAAAAAUCCUUCUUUUAAUAAUUUCCAAAGACUAGAACGUCUUACACCGCAACAUGCAAUAGUUUCACAUUUAACUAUUUGUAAAAAAUAUUGUGACUCACGUAUGUGAUCAGCAUACCAAGUAGCAUUAUUUUUCAACAUCAUAGCCUGACCAAUAUCCAGUCCAGUAACAGUUGGUGCAACAUAUUCAGCAACGACUGGAAAAUUAUCAAUGACUAACUUGCUCCUAAUGUCAGCCAACACAUUGACUGCAAUUUCGAAGUUUCGUUUUUCUACAUCUAAGUCAGUAGUUCGAAUACUUGAAUCAAGAUGUGACCCAAAAUCAUCAUGAUGAUCAUCCUGAGGCAUGUGUAGCUAUAUAAAUUGUUCAUAAAUAUAAUCAAAUUUUCAAUUGCAGAACAGCCGGUAAGAGAUACUGAACUUCCUAUUACCAGACAAGAAUAUGACAUAAUAACAUCUCAAUCAUCAUUAUGACACCAGGAUUGGUUGGUGCAUUAGAUCGUUCAAACGUUUCUAGUAGGAAUGCUAUGUAUAUUAUUUCUGCAACUCUGAAGAGAGUUGGAGUUAAUUUAAAGCUAUAAGACUAUUCAGCGCAGUCGUAAUGUUUUACGUACAGAAAUUACAAAGGGGUUAGAAGAUGGGUUGAGGCCUGAAGAUAAUUAUAUUGUGCACUGGGACGGGAUCCCUUUAACCGAUAUCACGGGAACUGAUACUGUAGAUAGACUUCCAAUUAUUUUGACAUCAUGUGGUACUAAACAAUUGUUGGGAGUGCCGAAGCCAGUGAUCAAGCAGUUGCCAUUCUGGAAACUCUCAAGCAGUGGGGUAUUAGUUCAUAUGUCAAAGGGAUGUGUUUUGACACAGCAGCUGUCAAUACAGUAAUUCAUCAUGGGACUUGUGCUGAAUUAGAAAAAGCUUUGAAUCAAGAGUUGAUUCAUUUACCUUGUCGCCGUCACAUCUUUGAGCUUGUUUUGAAAGGUGUGUUUGAGGUGUAUUGGCCAACCACUUUAGGCCUAAAUGUUCAGUUCUUUUCUAGGUUUAAGAAUAAUUGGGAUAAUUUCAAUAAAUCCAAUUUCAAGGUUGGAAUGGACGAUAGUACUGUUAAUAAAGUAUACAUAUAUUAUCCAAUAGCAAACAAACAUUAGUAACCUUGAUUGAAGAAAAUUUAAGGGUUCAUAAAUUAGACUUUAUAAAAAAUAUAAACGCAAUGUGUUCUUGAUGAACAUAUCAGAUUUUCCUCACUCAACAAUACAAUUUAAAUUGAAAUUUGUAUGUCUACUUUACAAGUUUUUCAACCAAGAGAUGACUAUAAAGAACUUCUUAAGCUAUCGCUGAUUUUUUUUGGGGAAAAGCCAAAACCGAACUUUACGUUUAAAUAUCCAGGUCCAGCACACCAUGCUCGUUGGAUGGCAAAAGCCAUUUAUUCGUUAAAAAUUUUUCUCUCUAGAGAAGAAUUUAAACUAACAGCGCGAGAAUUCAAUCCCAGCGGGAUAAUGGUUCACUGCUUACAUUUUUCUUUGAAGAAUGCUUCGAAGAAAAUUCUAUGUACAAUUCUUCGAUACCAGGUAAUGCAUAAAAGUAAGCUAUGCAGAAUAAUGGUUCGCCGCUUACAUUUUUCUUUGAAGAAUUCUUCGAAGAAAAUUCUAUGUAGAAUUCUUCGAUACCAGGUAAUGCAUAAAAGUAAGCUAUGCGGCUAAAUUCUACUGUGUUCAUAUUCACAAGUCAAGUAAGUACGUAAAAAACGACAAAUACAAAUUGAUGGAAUAAAAUUUAUAAGUAAAUUUUUUCAUUAUUUCGUCAAAUCAUCAAGCAAAAAGUUGGUUACUAUUAGGUUAGUUUUUCCUGUUUUUAACAUUGAAGGACAUAGCUUCAAAUUUAUAAACAUACUCUUUUUGUAGAAUGUGUGAAAGUUGAAGGCUUCACCGAAUCGGAGUAUAUUCACCAAAUUCAAAAAAGUAUGAAGCUCGCCAAAGGCCGUUUCUUCAAGUCUCGUUGCUUGGAAAAAAACGAAAAGAGACUCAGCCACAAAAAUAAAAGAAAACCAUAAUGGCUAAAUGGGUAGCGACCAACAUCUCCGCUUUGGCAGCAUCCCGGAUCUUUCCGCUAGUUACCCGUCUGUAUAUACAUAUGUAUAUUUAACGUUUUUUAAAACCUGCUGUUUUCAACCUUUGAAUAUUUUAUAUAUACAUACAUAUAUACUCGUAAUAUGUUUUUAACGUUUUUAAACUAAGUAUUUCAAUUUGUAAUAAUUCAGUUCAGUUAAACACAUUUUGUUAUAACAAUUUUUAAGUGCAUUUCGCAUAAAAUAAAACCUUUAUAACAAUUGUAUUGAAUCUAGUGCAUUUUUCUUUUUAACAAAAAGUGUGAGUGGCCUACGAGUAUAAGGUGAGUUUUUGUACACAUAAUACUUAUUUUCAUACAAAUAUGCAAUUUUUCCCAUUGUUCGUUAACUGUGGCAUCGAAGAAUUCAUCGUUAACUGUGGCAUCAAAGAAAUCUUCGUUAACUAUGGCAUCGAAGAAUUCUUCUUCCCUAUGGUAAGCGAAAGGGGUGAUCUGUUACUUUUCGUAGGACGUCGCCGUGUUAAUUUUCAUCGGUCGGGGUAAGCGAUACAAUCAUGCUGCAUCGUUUACCUUGCUCGCUUACCAAUGUCCACCAUAUCCCGCUGGGAUGGCUUACGUGAAGUUUGUAUUUUUCCCGUUAAAAUUUAUUUAAAAGCUUGGUACACUGCUCCUUCUGCGAUUUUGGCACCAUACAAUGACCUGACCUUCAUGCAAGACUUAGUUGAGUAAAAAACUGGGAACAGCUCCGUGUCAACAGCAACUUGUUCAAAAAUGAAAAAUCACCUGUAGUAUUUAAGUAAACAGUUGGUCAUUAUUUCUCUUUUUGAUGAUAAUGUGCCUCUACCCACGAAACAGAAAAUGAUUCAAGCUUUGAAUAAAAAAGAAAUAAACACUGAUCCAAAAAAAAAAAUUGAAAUUGAGCCCGGAAAUUCAGACCAAUUCUUAUCAGUAGAUCUGAGUGACUUUAUUUCGAAAAAGUCAAUGACUAUAUUUCAAACAUUCGAUUUACCUACUGACUUCAUUGACAAAAAUGUGGAAUCUUGGUCACAGGAUGAAAGCUAUCAAGAGAAUCAGGUAUUUUUUAAGCGUCUCAGCGUGGUCAAUGAUGUAGCAGAAAUAGGUUUAAUAGAGGACUACAACAAAUGUCUUACUAAAAAUGAAGAACAAUUGCAAUGUUUAUUGCAAGUUGUUAAAAAUCACCGACAAAAAUUUCCCGAUUGUAACAAAUAGAGUUUAGUUUAAUUUUGAAAUAAUCAAUAUGUAAGAGAUAUGAAAUAAAAAGUUGUAUUGCAAUCGAAUAAUUACUAAAAAAUGGCUCUUAUUCAUUUACAUUUCCCGAAAGUCAGGAGCAAAUAGGACACAUUAUUUUUUCAGGCAACGAUUAA